rnacentral:rRNA from 1 species
CGUACACUCCUGCGGGAGGCAGCAGUGGGGAAUUUUGGACAAUGGGCGAAAGCCUGAUCCAGCCAUGCCGCGUGCAGGAUGAAGGCCUUCGGGUUGUAAACUGCUUUUGUACGGAACGAAACGGCCUUUUCUAAUAAAGAGGGCUAAUGACGGUACCGUAAGAAUAAGCACCGGCUAACUACGUGCCAGCAGCCGCGGUAAUACGUAGGGUGCAAGCGUUAAUCGGAAUUACUGGGCGUAAAGCGUGCGCAGGCGGUUAUGUAAGACAGUUGUGAAAUCCCCGGGCUCAACCUGGGAACUGCAUCUGUGACUGCAUAGCUAGAGUACGGUAGAGGGGGAUGGAAUUCCGCGUGUAGCAGUGAAAUGCGUAGAUAUGCGGAGGAACACCGAUGGCGAAGGCAAUCCCCUGGACCUGUACUGACGCUCAUGCACGAAAGCGUGGGGAGCAAACAGGAUUAGAUACCCUUGUAGUCCCAUG